ACACCAAAGUUUAGUGGAGUAACGGCCACAGCUGCAAUCGGACGUCGGUAGAGCUCAGCUACGAACGAAUGUGUUGGGGUGCUCCCAAAAGUAAAGGCAAAGUCAGGCAAAAAUAAUCCAAAAAGAACAAAAAUUAAGAAAAUAUCUAUAUUUUUGGGGAGAAGAUAUAUAAAAAAAAGUGGUUUUGCCUUGAAAAUUGGCAGCAAAACACAAUGCAAGAAAGUAAAGAGUUUUAGCACGAAAAAGAAUUAAAUAUAUAAAAAAUCAGUAAUUACAGUGAAAAAAAAGAAAUAUAUACUAAGGGCAGUGAAAAUAUUUGAGUGAAGAAUAUAUAUACUGAACGUGUAUAUGUAUGUAUGUAUAUACUUACGCGUGGUCAAAAACCAAUUUCAAAUUAAAAUUUUAGAACGAUUUUCGAAGAAACGACGAGCUAACGAAUGUGCUGAAAAGUAAAUGCGAAAUAAAUGUGCUGGAAAUGUGGCUACGCGAAUUGCCUGUAUAAGUGAGGUUUAAUAAUUCAAAUGGUUUGUUUUAUGCUAAUCUACACAUUGAAAUUUAAGCAGUGAUUUGAAGCAUAUAAAAAGUGUUAAAUGUGUAAAGGAUUAAUAAAGCAAAUAUAUAAAAAAAGUAAAUAGAUAUAUAAUUCGCAAAUAUUCCGCUUUUCAACCCUGCUGUUAACCUGCUGCUGCUGUUAAAAAAAACCUACGCGCUUUCUGUGAAGAAAUACUCAUUAUGAUAGCUAUUAGGUGUAUAAUAUACAUAUAACUGAGAAGCACAAGGUAAUUACUCUUGUUUUUGA